rnacentral:tRNA from 1 species
GAAGGUGUAGCUCAGUGGUAGAGCACAUGCUUACUGAACAGUGUCCUGGGUUCAAUCCUCAGUACCUCCA